rnacentral:rRNA from 1 species
GACGAACCGUGCGAACGUUGUUCGGAUUCACUGGGCUUAAAGGGCGCGUAGGCGGGCGACCAAGUCAGGGGUGAAAUCUUUCGGCUUAACCGGAAAACAGCCUUUGAUACUGGCCGUCUGGAGGGAGGUAGGGGUCUGUGGAACUUCUGGUGGAGCGGUGAAAUGCGUAGAUAUCAGAAGGAACGCCGGUGGCGAAAGCGACGGACUGGACCUCAUCUGACGCUGAGGCGCGAAAGCUAGGGGAGCAAACGGG